rnacentral:misc_RNA from 1 species
GUCAGAUUUUGUUGCCGGAAGAAAUGAGGCUGAAGCACUUGAUGUCAUGAAUAUAUUCUCAGAAGCUCUAGAAGGUUCUAACUUGAAGUUUCUGAAUCUCUCUGAUAAUGCUCUUGGUGAGAAGGGAGUUAGGGCAUUUGGAAAGCUCCUUCAGUCUCAAACCAACUUGGAAGAAUUAUUUUUGAUGAAUGAUGGGAUUUCACAGGAAGCUGCAAAUGCUGUUAGCGAG